rnacentral:misc_RNA from 1 species
AACGCAUAUUGCACUUUCUGGUAUUCCGGAAAGUAUGCCUGUUUGAGGGUCAGUUAAAUAAAAAUCGGUGUUGUUGCUACUUUUAGCGAUGAUGCAUCGGAAUUGAGUUGUCUUUACCUUUUUUGGUUAAAGUGACUUAAAAUUAUGUACGAUUUUUUGAACGUAUUUAAAUUGUUUACGUAUGUUCAUAAUAUCAAAUAUAUUAGGUGCGAUCAUCCUCAUGAUUUCGCGUCUAUAAUUUUUCAUUAUUUGACCUCAAAUCAGGUAAGAGUACCCGCUGAACUUAA